rnacentral:rRNA from 1 species
UACGUAGGGUGCGAGCGUUGUCCGGAUUUAUUGGGCGUAAAGAGCUCGUAGGCGGUUUGUCGCGUCGGCCGUGAAAUCUCCACGCUUAACGUGGAGCGUGCGGUCGAUACGGGCAGACUUGAGUUCGGUAGGGGAGACUGGAAUUCCUGGUGUAGCGGUGAAAUGCGCAGAUAUCAGGAGGAACACCGGUGGCGAAGGCGGGUCCCUGGACAAUACCUGACACUGAGGCACGAAAGCUAGGGGAGCAAACAGG